AGAAACAAUGAACACACACAAUUUCUGAGAAAGAAGUCAUCACAAUCACUUUGCUCCCGGCUAGUCUGAAGGAGUUUAGUGAGGUGGAAGCUCUGAAUUUUGGAAACUGGCUCAGAGGAGGAGCUUCAUCCUCGAAGGCGGAGCUAGGUCCACCCCGGUGUUUUGACCAGCUGAAUGGAGAUUAAAGGAUUUGUAAAACAUG